rnacentral:rRNA from 1 species
AUGACGUCAGACGUAUCCUUCAUCGUCGGUGGCGAGACAUUUCACGCGCACCGGGUGAUUCUCACAGCACGCUCACCGGUCUUCAAGGCAUAGCUCUUUGGGUACAUGCUCGAGGCCACCACGACAUCGUCGACGCCCAUCGUGCUGCAUGAGAUUGCCCCCUCGACGUUCAAAGCUAUGCUCAGGUUCAUGUACACUGAUGCAUGGCCUGAAGACGCCGAUGGUGACGAAUCAUCAUUGGUCUAGAUGUUUCAGGAUCUACUUGCUGCUGUAGAUCGGUAUGCACUAGACAGGCUGAAGCUCAUGUGCGCACGAAAGUUAUGGGAUAACGUGACGGUACAUACUGUUGUGAGUAUCUUGCUUUGUGCUGAAACAUAUGGCUGCCCGGAGUUGAAGAACAAAUGCCUUGACUUCUGCACAGUGGGAAAAAAUUACAAGGAGGUAACAUCCACUGAUGGCUAUGCAUGGCUACAACUGAGGUUUCCGUCAAUUGCUGCUGAGAUAGGAGAAAAUGUUAGGACAUAA